rnacentral:rRNA from 1 species
AGCGAACGCUGGCGGCAGGCUUAACACAUGCAAGUCGAACGCCCCGCAAGGGGAGUGGCAGACGGGUGAGUAACGCGUGGGAAUCUACCCAGUUCUACGGAACAACUGAGGGAAACUUCAGCUAAUACCGUAUGCGCCCUACGGGGGAAAGAUUUAUCGGAAUUGGAUGAGCCCGCGUUGGAUUAGCUAGUUGGUGAGGUAACGGCUCACCAAGGCGACGAUCCAUAGCUGGUCUGAGAGGAUGAUCAGCCACACUGGGACUGAGAGACGGCCCAGACACCUACGGGAGGAAGCAGUGGGGAAUAUUGGACAAUGGGCGCAAGCCUGAUCCAGCCAUGCCGCGUGAGUGAUGAAGGCCUUAGGGUUGUAAAGCUCUUUCAGUGGGGACGAUAAUGACGGUACCCACAGAAGAAGCCCCGGCUAACUUCGUGCCAGCCGCCGCAGUAAGAC